GAGCGGGGAAAGGUAGCUUGCUACCUGACCUAGCGGCGGACGGGUGAGUAAUGCUUAGGAAUCUGCCUAUUAGUGGGGGACAACAUUCCGAAAGGAAUGCUAAUACCGCAUACGCCCUACGGGGGAAAGCAGGGGAUCUUCGGACCUUGCGCUAAUAGAUGAGCCUAAGUCAGAUUAGCUAGUUGGUGGGGUAAAGGCCUACCAAGGCGACGAUCUGUAGCGGGUCUGAGAGGAUGAUCCGCCACACUGGGACUGAGACACGGCCCAGACUCCUACGGGAGGCAGCAGUGGGGAAUAUUGGACAAUGGGCGAAAGCCUGAUCCAGCCAUGCCGCGUGUGUGAAGAAGGCCUUUUGGUUGUAAAGCACUUUAAGCGAGGAGGAGGCUACUUAGAUUAAUACUCUAGGAUAGUGGACGUUACUCGCAGAAUAAGCACCGGCUAACUCUGUGCCAGCAGCCGCGGUAAUACAGAGGGUGCGAGCGUUGAUCGGAUUUACUGGGCGUAAAGCGUGCGUAGGCGGCUUUUUAAGUCGGAUGUGAAAUCCCUGAGCUUAACUUAGGAAUUGCAUUCGAUACUGGGAAGCUAGAGUAUGGGAGAGGAUGGUAGAAUUCCAGGUGUAGCGGUGAAAUGCGUAGAGAUCUGG
rnacentral:rRNA from 1 species